UACGAAGGGGGCUAGCGUUGCUCGGAAUCACUGGGCGUAAAGCGCACGUAGGCGGAUCUUUAAGUCAGGGGUGAAAUCCUGGAGCUCAACUCCAGAACUGCCUUUGAUACUGGCGGUCUCGAGUCCGGGAGAGGUGAGUGGAACUGCGAGUGUAGAGGUGAAAUUCGUAGAUAUUCGCAAGAACACCAGUGGCGAAGGCGGCUCACUGGCCCGGUACUGACGCUGAGGUGCGAAAGCGUGGGGAGCAA
rnacentral:rRNA from 1 species